AACGAACGCUGGCGGCAUGCCUAACACAUGCAAGUCGAACGAGACCUUCGGGUCUAGUGGCGCACGGGUGCGUAACGCGUGGGAACCUGCCCUUAGGUUCGGAAUAACUCCCCGAAAGGGGUGCUAAUACCGGAUAAUGUCUUCGGACCAAAGAUUUAUCGCCUUUGGAUGGGCCCGCGUUGGAUUCGCUAGUUGGUAGGGUAAAAGCCUACCAAGGCGACGAUCCAUAGCUGGUCGGAGAGGAUGAUCAGCCACACUGGGACUGAGACACGGCCCAGACUCCUACGGGAGGCAGCAGUGGGGAAUAUUGGACAAUGGGCGAAAGCCUGAUCCAGCAAUGCCGCGUGAGUGAUGAAGGCCUUAGGGUUGUAAAGCUCUUUUACCCGGGAUGAUAAUGACAGUACCGGGAGAAUAAGCACCGGCUAACUCCGUG
rnacentral:rRNA from 1 species